AUGACACUAAACAUUAGUGACACCAAAUGCAACCUCUGGAGAAAUAGGGCGGUCGCGGCGGGCAGCGGCGGCAGAAAGUUGGCUACCAGGGUAUUUAGCCUAGUUGGCAAGUGAGCAAUUUCCACCUCUGUGUGUGUACGAGCACAUGAAAGUGUUGUGAAGAGCGAAGACUUUUCGCUCCCAGCUUAUGUGGAUCGGCGUGACCAUCCCUUGCCGGAGGUGGCCCAUGUCAAGCACCUGUCUGCCAGCCAGAAGGCCCUGAAGGAGAAGGAGAAGGAGAAGGAGAAGGAGAAGGCCGCCUGGAGCAGCCUCUCCAUGGAUAAGAAAGUCGAGUUGUAUCGCAUUAAGUUCAAGGAGAGCUUUGCUGAGAUGAACAGGGGCUCCGACGAGUGGAAGACGGUUGUGGGCGGUGCCAUGUUCUUCAUCGGCUUCACCGCGCUCAUUAUCAUGUGGCAGAAGCACUAUGUGUACGGCCCCCUCCCGCAAACCUUUGACAAAGAGUGGGUGGCCAAGCAGACCAAGAGGAUGCUGGACAUGAAGGUGAACCCCAUCCAGGGCUUAGCCUCCAAGUGGGACUACAAAAAGAACGAGUGGAAGAAGUGAGAGAUGCUGGCCUGCGCCUGCGCCUGGCUCUGUCACCGCCAUGCAACUCCAUGCCUAUUUACUGGAAACCUGUUAUGCCAAACAGUUGUGCCACUGCUAAUAAAUGACCAGUUUACCUGAAAA